rnacentral:rRNA from 1 species
UACGAGGGGGGCGAGCGUUAUUCGGAAUCACUGGGCUUAAAGGGCGCGUAGGCGGGCCGUCAAGUCAGGGGUGAAAGCCCCCAGCUCAACUGGGGAAGUGCCUCUGAUACUGGCGGCCUCGAGGGAGGUAGGGGCGUGCGGAACUUCCGGUGGAGCGGUGAAAUGCGUAGAUAUCGGAAGGAACACCGGUGGCGAAAGCGGCGCGCUGGACCUCUUCUGACGCUGAGGCGCGAAAGCCAGGGGAGCGAACGGG